UACGUAGGGGGCAAGCGUUGUCCGGAAUCAUUGGGCGUAAAGGGCGGGUAGGCGGCCACCGCAAGUCAGUUGUGAAAUCUCCGGGCUUAACCCGGAAAGGUCAACUGAUACUGCUCGGCUAGAGUGCGGAAGGGGCAACUGGAAUUCUUGGUGUAGCGGUGAAAUGCGUAGAUAUCGGGAGGAACACCAAUGGCGAAGGCAGCUCGCUGGGACGUGACUGACGCUGAGACGCGAAAGCGUGGGGAGCAAACAGG
rnacentral:rRNA from 1 species